GGGUUGUGAGGUUAAGCGACUAAGCGUACACGGUGGAUGCCCUGGCAGUCAGAGGCGAUGAAGGGCGUGCUAAUCUGCGAUAAGCGCCGGUAAGGUGAUAUGAACCGUUAUAACCGGCGAUACCCGAAUGGGGAAACCCAGUGUGACUCGUCACACUAUCAUUAACUGAAUCCAUAGGUUAAUGAGGCGAACCGGGGGAACUGAAACAUCUAAGUACCCCGAGGAAAAGAAAUCAACCGAGAUUCCCCCAGUAGCGGCGAGCGAACGGGGAGGAGCCCAGAGCCUGAAUCAGCAUGUGUGUUAGUGGAAGCGUCUGGAAAGGCGCGCGAUACAGGGUGACAGCCCCGUACACAAAAGCGCAUGUGCUGUGAGCUCGAUGAGUAGGGCGGGACACGUGGUAUCCUGUCUGAAUAUGGGGGGACCAUCCUCCAAGGCUAAAUACUCCUGACUGACCGAUAGUGAACCAGUACCGUGAGGGAAAGGCGAAAAGAACCCCGGCGAGGGGAGUGAAAAAGAACCUGAAACCGUGUACGUACAAGCAGUGGGAGCACCCUUUGGGGUGUGACUGCGUACCUUUUGUAUAAUGGGUCAGCGACUUAUAUUCUGUAGCAAGGUUAACCGUAUAGGGGAGCCGCAGGGAAACCGAGUCUUAACCGGGCGUUAAGUUGCAGGGUAUAGACCCGAAACCCGGUGAUCUAGCCAUGGGCAGGUUGAAGGUUGGGUAACACUAACUGGAGGACCGAACCGACUAAUGUUGAAAAAUUAGCGGAUGACCUGUGGCUGGGGGUGAAAGGCCAAUCAAACCGGGAGAUAGCUGGUUCUCCCCGAAAGCUAUUUAGGUAGCGCCUCGUGAAUUCAUCUCCGGGGGUAGAGCACUGUUUCGGCUAGGGGGCCAUCCCGGCUUACCAACCCGAUGCAAACUGCGAAUACCGGAGAAUGUUAUCACGGGAGACACACGGCGGGUGCUAACGUCCGUCGUGAAGAGGGAAACAACCCAGACCGCCAGCUAAGGUCCCAAAGUCAUGGUUAAGUGGGAAACGAUGUGGGAAGGCCCAGACAGCCAGGAUGUUGGCUUAGAAGCAGCCAUCAUUUAAAGAAAGCGUAAUAGCUCACUGGUCGAGUCGGCCUGCGCGGAAGAUGUAACGGGGCUAAACCAUGCACCGAAGCUGCGGCAGCGACGCUUAUGCGUUGUUGGGUAGGGGAGCGUUCUGUAAGCCUGCGAAGGUGGCCUGUGAGGGUUGCUGGAGGUAUCAGAAGUGCGAAUGCUGACAUAAGUAACGAUAAAGCGGGUGAAAAGCCCGCUCGCCGGAAGACCAAGGGUUCCUGUCCAACGUUAAUCGGGGCAGGGUGAGUCGACCCCUAAGGCGAGGCCGAAAGGCGUAGUCGAUGGGAAACGGGUUAAUAUUCCCGUACUUGGUGUUACUGCGAAGGGGGGACGGAGAAGGCUAUGUUGGCCGGGCGACGGUUGUCCCGGUUUAAGCGUGUAGGUGUGUGUUCCAGGUAAAUCCGGUUCACUUUAACACUGAGGCGUGACGACGAGGCACUACGGUGCUGAAGCAACAAAUGCCCUGCUUCCAGGAAAAGCCUCUAAGCAUCAGGUAACAUCAAAUCGUACCCCAAACCGACACAGGUGGUCAGGUAGAGAAUACCAAGGCGCUUGAGAGAACUCGGGUGAAGGAACUAGGCAAAAUGGUGCCGUAACUUCGGGAGAAGGCACGCUGACACGUAGGUGAAGUGAUUUACUCACGGAGCUGAAGUCAGUCGAAGAUACCAGCUGGCUGCAACUGUUUAUUAAAAACACAGCACUGUGCAAACACGAAAGUGGACGUAUACGGUGUGACGCCUGCCCGGUGCCGGAAGGUUAAUUGAUGGGGUCAGCGCAAGCGAAGCUCCUGAUCGAAGCCCCGGUAAACGGCGGCCGUAACUAUAACGGUCCUAAGGUAGCGAAAUUCCUUGUCGGGUAAGUUCCGACCUGCACGAAUGGCGUAAUGAUGGCCAGGCUGUCUCCACCCGAGACUCAGUGAAAUUGAACUCGCUGUGAAGAUGCAGUGUACCCGCGGCAAGACGGAAAGACCCCGUGAACCUUUACUAUAGCUUGACACUGAACAUUGAGCCUUGAUGUGUAGGAUAGGUGGGAGGCUUUGAAGCGUGGACGCCAGUCUGCGUGGAGCCGACCUUGAAAUACCACCCUUUAAUGUUUGAUGUUCUAACGUGGACCCGUGAUCCGGGUUGCGGACAGUGUCUGGUGGGUAGUUUGACUGGGGCGGUCUCCUCCUAAAGAGUAACGGAGGAGCACGAAGGUUGGCUAAUCCUGGUCGGACAUCAGGAGGUUAGUGCAAUGGCAUAAGCCAGCUUGACUGCGAGCGUGACGGCGCGAGCAGGUGCGAAAGCAGGUCAUAGUGAUCCGGUGGUUCUGAAUGGAAGGGCCAUCGCUCAACGGAUAAAAGGUACUCCGGGGAUAACAGGCUGAUACCGCCCAAGAGUUCAUAUCGACGGCGGUGUUUGGCACCUCGAUGUCGGCUCAUCACAUCCUGGGGCUGAAGUAGGUCCCAAGGGUAUGGCUGUUCGCCAUUUAAAGUGGUACGCGAGCUGGGUUUAGAACGUCGUGAGACAGUUCGGUCCCUAUCUGCCGUGGGCGCUGGAGAACUGAGGGGGGCUGCUCCUAGUACGAGAGGACCGGAGUGGACGCAUCACUGGUGUUCGGGUUGUCAUGCCAAUGGCACUGCCCGGUAGCUAAAUGCGGAAGAGAUAAGUGCUGAAAGCAUCUAAGCACGAAACUUGCCCCGAGAUGAGUUCUCCCUGAGACUUAGAGUCUCCUGAAGGAACGUUGAAGACGACGACGUUGAUAGGCCGGGUGUGUAAGCGCAGCGAUGCGUUGAGCUAACCGGUACUAAUGAACCGUGAGGCUUAACCUUACAACGCCGAAG
rnacentral:rRNA from 1 species